CAAUCCUGGUGGCGAGUGGCGAACGGGUGAGUAAAGUAUCGGAACGUGCCCAGUCGUGGGGGAUAACGUAGCGAAAGCUACGCUAAUACCGCAUACGAUCUAUGGAUGAAAGCGGGGGACCGUAAGGCCUCGCGCGAUUGGAGCGGCCGAUAUCAGAUUAGGUAGUUGGUGGGGUAAAGGCCCACCAAGCCGACGAUCUGUAGCUGGUCUGAGAGGACGACCAGCCACACUGGGACUGAGACACGGCCCAGACUCCUACGGGAGGCAGCAGUGGGGAAUUUUGGACAAUGGGCGCAAGCCUGAUCCAGCAAUGCCGCGUGCAGGAUGAAGGCCUUCGGGUUGUAAACUGCUUUUGUACGGAACGAAAAGGUCUGCACUAAUACUGCGGGCUCAUGACGGUACCGUAAGAAUAAGCACCGGCUAACUACGUGCCAGCAGCCGCGGUAAUACGUAGGGUGCAAGCGUUAAUCGGAAUUACUGGGCGUAAAGCGUGCGCAGGCGGUCUUGUAAGACAGGUGUGAAAUCCCCGGGCUUAACCUGGGAACCGCACUUGUGACUGCAAGGCUGGAGUACGGCAGAGGGGGAUGGAAUUCCGCG
rnacentral:rRNA from 1 species